GCGGGAAUUGCCAAGUCUGGACAAAGGCGCUGGACUCAGAAUCCAGUCUCACAGGGGUUCGAGGGUUCAAAUCCCUCUUCCCGCA
rnacentral:tRNA from 1 species